rnacentral:rRNA from 1 species
GAUGAACGCUGGCGGCGUGCCUAAUACAUGCAAGUCGAGCGAACGGACGAGAAGCUUGCUUCUCUGAUGUUAGCGGCGGACGGGUGAGUAACACGUGGAUAACCUACCUAUAAGACUGGGAUAACUUCGUGAAACCGGAGCUAAUACCGGAUAAUAUUUUGAACCGCAUUGUUCAAAAGUGAAAGACGGUCUUGCUGUCACUUAUAGAUGGAUCCGCGCUGCAUUAGUUAGUUGGUAAGGUAACGGCUUACCAAGGCAACGAUGCAUAGCCGACCUGAGAGGGUGAUCCGCCACACUGGAACUGAGACACGGUCCAGACUCCUACGGGAGGCAGCAGUAGGGAAUCUUGCGCAAUGGGCGAAAGCCUGACGGAGCAACGCCGCGUGAGUGAUGAAGGUCUUCGGAUCGUAAAACUCUGUUAUUAGGGAAGAACAUAUGUGUAAGAAACUGUGCACAUCUUGACGGUACCUAAUCAGAAAGCAACGGCUAACUACGUG